GCCACAUUCGUCUAGCUGGUCCAGGACACGACACUCUCACUGUCGAGAUCAGGGGUUCGAAUCCCCUAUGUGGUACCA
rnacentral:tRNA from 1 species